rnacentral:misc_RNA from 2 species
GCGUGUGAGUGGUGAUUGGACGGCAUGGGUUUGCAGGCUCCUUGCUCGUGCAUCGAACUGGAAGCUCUCCGUCCUCUUCAUGGUUUUCCCCGAGCACGUCCAUUGACUUGCGGGUGCUACCGGCGGUAUCCUGUAUUGCUUACCGAUGCAACGGAAUUUGAUGGUUUCGGUCCCUGCAUCCGCCCGGCACCCGUGAGGGUGUUGGGCGGACGACAAGUUGGCCUCGUGUUCCUGGCACGCCUUGCCUUGCUGUUUGGUUGCCACGGCGCACGGGGUUGUGCCCGUUCUCUCGGAUACGGAUCGUUACGUGCGGGCGGGGGGUUACGGCCUCUAUCCGUCCGCGAUAUGCAUUUGUCCCUCGACACGAACGACCGCCGCACCGGUCUUGGCUCGAGAGCCGCACGGUUCUGCGAGGACCCAUGCGGGUGUUGGCGUCGUUUAGGAAUGC